rnacentral:lncRNA from 1 species
AAGGAAUACCCAGAACAUCAAAUUUAUUUUUUCCUAUGGUAGUAAAGAAUCAUAACAUCAAGAGUCAUUAAAAGUAAAAAAUUACAACUUACUCGAUUACGUUUCACCCAGCGGCGAUGACAGGCCGCCUGUUGUUGCGCUUCUUGAACGCUGCAACGUCGCCCUCUUUCCAGCCAUGCAGCGCGGCCUCGUGUACACUGAUAUGCAACCAAUCAAAAAAAAACA